rnacentral:lncRNA from 1 species
GACAAACCUAGUUUUAAAGACAGGGAGCAAGGAAACUAGAGAAGCAAUAAUGACAGGAGUGGUUUAUAUGUUCCUCCUGGAAAUUGGGAAACUGCUGCAACUAGCUCUGGAAGAUGUCCAUGGAGGACAUGAUGGAGAAUUUGUUGAAGGCAUUUGAGGCCACCAACUCUAGUGUAACCACCAUAAAUACCAAUCUGACAUCCAUCAAUCAAUUGGUG